UACGAAGGGGGCUAGCGUUGCUCGGAAUUACUGGGCGUAAAGGGCGCGUAGGCGGAUAGUUUAGUCAGAGGUAAAAGCCCAGGGCUCAACCUUGGAACUGCCUUUGAUACUGGCUAUCUUGAGUUCGGGAGAGGUGAGUGGAAUGCCGAGUGUAGAGGUGAAAUUCGUAGAUAUUCGGCGGAACACCAGUGGCGAAGGCGGACUCACUGGCCCGAUACUGACGCUGAGGCGCGAAAGCGUGGGGAGCAACAGG
rnacentral:rRNA from 1 species